rnacentral:rRNA from 1 species
CAGUAGCCGCGGUAAUACAGAGGGUGCGAGCGUUAAUCGGAUUUACUGGGCGUAAAGCGUGCGUAGGCGGCUUUUUAAGUCGGAUGUGAAAUCCCUGAGCUUAACUUAGGAAUUGCUUUCGAUACUGGGAAGCUAGAGUAUGGGAGAGGAUGGUAGAAUUCCAGGUGUAGCGGUGAAAUGCGUAGAGAUCUGGAGGAAUACCGAUGGCGAAGGCAGCCAUCUGGCCUAAUACUGACGCUGAGGUACGAAAGCAUGGGGAGCAAACAGGAUUAGAUACCCGAGUAGUCCCUGUCUCUUAUAC